GCUGGAACCCUCGACGUCGUAAGCGACGGAGUGCCAACAACAAUCGACCCACAUGCAUGCAGAAACCCCCCGGUUGACACAAUGUGUGUGUGUGUGUGUGUGUGUGUUAUUAAGGUGGUGGUCUGGUAGAAUCGUUUACACGCUGGACGAAAUACUUGGCGGUAUUUCGCCCGUCGCUACGUUCCGGGUUCAAAUUCAGCCUAGGUUGACUUUGCAUUUCAUCCUUUCGGGGGGGGGCGAUAAAUUAAGUACCAGUUACGCACUAGGAUCAAUAUAAUCAACUAGUCGUCCUCCCUGUAAAUUUCAGGCCUUGUGCCUUCAGUAGAAAGGAUUGUUAUUAUUAUUAUUAUCAUUAUUAUUAUUAUUAUUAUUAUCAUCAUUAUUAUUAUUAUUAUAGACGUCGCACAGUAGCACAGUAUACAAUAUUGUGAGGUUGUUGAUUGAAGAUAUUGUUUCUACUGGGGGUUCAUAAGAUUGGUAUCUAUGCCCCAAUAAUUACAGGUAUAAACCUGAACUUGUAAUCUGGAAAGAGUAACUGUAGAUUUCCGUAGAUAUGUAUGUAUUCGGUCAUCAUCAUCGUCAUCAUUACCAUCAUCGUCAUCAACAGCAAAAAGAACAACAUCGUCACGAUUUUUUGUUUCCCUUUCUUGCAGACGUUCCCGCCUGGUAUAAAGUAGUCAUGGCUUUCCAAGUUAUCGGUUGUAUAUUCACCUUCCUGGCGUUCUUUAUUACUAUCUUCUGGACAAACAGACACUUCAGAUCCGAGAUACAGUGCCCAUGUUACAACAGAGUAGCGUUGGCCACUUACAUCGUUGCCGGAAUCUUCAUUCUGCUUGGAAUCAUCAUUUUGGUCGGCAAAACCAAGACGAAGCAGAUUGCCUGGGCUCCAAGCGUGACCGGCUUCGGCGGAGCGUUUUGUAUCAUCGCUGCCAGCUUCAUUCGAUGGGGCCAACAAGACGAUCAUGAUUUAAAGUAAAGAAAAACAAAAAAUUUAAUAAAUCAACACUUCGGAAAAAGAAAAAG